rnacentral:misc_RNA from 1 species
GAUGAAGAACGUAGUGAAAUGCGAUAAGUAAUGUGAAUUGCAGAAUUCAGUGAAUCAUCGAAUCUUUGAACGCACAUUGCGCCCCUCGGUAUUCCGUGGGGCAUGCCUGUUCGAGCGUCAUUUACCCCUCAAGCACUGCUUGGUGUUGGGCGUCUGUCCCGCUUCGCGCGCGGACUCGCCCCAAAGGUAUUGGCAGCGGUCGUGCCAGCUUCUCGCGCAGCACAUUGCGCUUCUCGAGGCGGUCGAUCGGCGUCCACGAAGCUCACCUCCACCGUUUGACCUCGGAUCAGGUAGGGAUACCCGCUGAACUUAAGCAUAUCAAUAAGCGGAGGA